CCAUUGGAGGGCAAGUAUGGUGCCAGCAGCCGCGGUAAUUCCAGCUCCAAUAGCGUAUAUUAAAGUUGUUGCAGUUAAAAAGCUUGUAGUUGACCUUUGGGCUUGGUUGGCCGGUCCGCCUUUUUGGCGAGUACUGGACCCAACCGAGCCUUUCCUUCUGGCUAACCAUUCGCCCUUGUGGUGUUUGGCGAACCAGGACUUUUACUUUGAAAAAAUUAGAGUGUUCAAAGCAGCCCUUUGCUCGAAUAUAUUAGCAUGGAAUAAUAGAAUAGGACGUUAUGGUUCUAUUUUGUUGGUUUCUAGGACCAUCGUAAUGAUUCAUAGGGACGGUCGGGGGCAUCAGUAUUCAGUUGUCAGAGGUGAAAUUCUUAGAUUUACUGAAGACUAACUACUGCGAAAGCAUUUGCCAAGGACGUUUUCAUUAAUCAAGAACGAAAGUUAGGGGAUCGAAGAGAUCUAGAUACCGUACGACUAUCC
rnacentral:rRNA from 1 species